rnacentral:rRNA from 1 species
CAGUAGCCGCGGUAAUACGAAGGGUGCAAGCGUUACUCGGAAUUACUGGGCGUAAAGCGUGCGUAGGUGGUUGUUUAAGUCCGUUGUGAAAGCCCUGGGCUCAACCUGGGAAUUGCAGUGGAUACUGGGUCACUAGAGUGUGGUAGAGGAUAGUGGAAUUUCCGGUGUAGCAGUGAAAUGCGUAGAGAUCGGAAGGAACAUCUGUGGCGAAGGCGACUAUCUGGGCCAACACUGACACUGAGGCACGAAAGCGUGGGGAGCAAACAGGAUUAGAUACCCCCGUAGUCCCUGUCUCUUAUAC